UUUUUUUUUCUGGUUUCAUUGAGGUAUAGUUGACAAAAGUUGUAUCUAUUUCAGAUAGAUAUUCUGCACAGUGUGAUAUUUUGAUAUAUGUAUCCAUUGUGAAAUGACUGUCACAGUGAAGCUAAUGAGCACAUCCAUAGGAUGUACAUAUUGUGAUGCAAACAAACACUUUCUCAACAUUUCUACAUCUGCUUCUUGUUCAUAGAAGAGCCGGGAUCUGUUUGAAAGUUGAUGCGAAUCUUGGUCUUGUACUUGCAGAGGAAAAUAAACUAUGUGACAAGAAAUACUAGGUCACUAAUAUGCAGAUUGUUCCUUUACUUAGAUGAUGAUAUUGAGACAGGAGACAGUGAGAUUAUGCAUCUUGGAUUAAAUUACAUAUUUGCAUCUUAACAGGAAAAUAAAUCAACUGCUAGUCUCUAUGAUUACUCAGCUAACUCUGCUUUUAGGGAGAAUCGUGUUUCUACAAAUAAACUAUGUAUCUGCAUCCUUUCCAACUCUACAGUCUCUGGAUUAACAAAACACUCCUCAGAUUUCACCUUCCUCUUGGAAGUUUUAUGUUCCUUUGGAUUUUGGAUGGGGCCAAACUUCUUGGGGCUAUUGUGCACUCGGCUAGAUGCCGCCAGUCCAGGUACCUGGAUUCCGCUGCUACGACCCAAGUUCAAGUUAUUGGCCUUGCUGUUACCAUGGUAAUGAUGGAUGACAUCAUUGAAUUCAGAAGCAGGUGAGGAGAAAGAGGAUGCUCUGUCCCAGAGUCUUGCACAUCCUGGAGUUGAUGUGCUUCCGGAAAUGAACUGGGUGUUGAGAAAGUGAUCCAAGUGAGAAGGAAUCGGAUGCAUAAUCAUCGGUGUUUCCCCACAGAUCUUAAUUCCUUAAAGUAAGAACCAGAGAGUCAGAUGCUGGGAAACCAAGAGGCUGUAUUCCCACUUUGAGAAACAAAGCUGCAAGAACCUAGAGCACUGGGGAGCUAAAUCCCAUAGAAAUCUUCAAUCUGGGAUUUCAGAUUGCUUAAUCAUGUGUGGAAAAAUGGAUAGUCUCCAAUGAUCUAGAAGUAAUUAUUUAAUGAUUAACUGUGUUUGUAAAUUAAAUGUUCAACCUGAGGAUAGGAGAGAAUUUGAUGAAGACUUCAGUGUCCAUUCUUACAUUCUCAUCCCUCACAACACACACACAAUAUUUUUAAGGAUGAAAUAAUGUACACAACCUAAAUAAUAGCUGUCAUGUAUGUGCCUCUUAGAGACCAAGACCUCAUAUGUUACUUUAUUUAAUCCUCAGAUAGUAUGGCAAAGUAGCAGUAAAAUGAUAAAUGAUUCCCGUUUUACACAACAGGAAACAGAUUUGCAGUCUGAGGCAAUAGGUCUGAGACCAAUGACUCUGAUGGAGUGUUUGUAAGUAUUAUCUGAAGGAAGUUCAUGAGUGAGGUCAUCCAGCUCCUAAGUUGGAAAUUCUGAACUUGGCUCCAGGACUAUCCUCCUAGCUUAUAUUAUGACUUGCAAGCGUCUCUUAUUUCAUCAUUUCCAUGCUCAGAAUGGAUGGGGACCUAAUAAGAAAGGGGAAGGUGUGCCUGAAAUCCUCAGCCUUCCCACAAAAACAUGUGAGCACUCGUGAGCCUAGCAAAUCCAGGUCAUGGACAAUUGGGGUGGUGCUCUAAUCCAUGACUUGAUGGGAUUUUCCUGUAGCUGGAUUGAGAGAGGCAUCCAGCUGGGGAGAAGAUGAUUAGUUAAUUGGUAG
rnacentral:lncRNA from 12 species